CUGGCGGCGUGCCUAAUACAUGCAAGUCGAACGCACUGACGUCGACAGAAGGUGCUUGCACUGGAAGUUGAUUGACGUGAGUGGCGGACGGGUGAGUAACACGUGGGUAACCUGCCCUUAAGCGGGGGAUAACAUUUGGAAACAGAUGCUAAUACCGCAUAAAAGUUGAGAUCACAUGGUCUUAAUUUGAAAGACGGCCUUUGGCUGUCACUUAAGGAUGGACCCGCGGCGUAUUAGCUAGUUGGUGAGAUAAUAGCCCACCAAGGCGAUGAUACGUAGCCGACCUGAGAGGGUAAUCGGCCACAUUGGGACUGAGACACGGCCCAAACUCCUACGGGAGGCAGCAGUAGGGAAUCUUCCACAAUGGACGAAAGUCUGAUGGAGCAACGCCGCGUGAGUGAAGAAGGUUUUCGGAUCGUAAAACUCUGUUGUUGGAGAAGAACAGGGACUAGAGUAACUGUUAGUCCUUUGACGGUAUCCAACCAGAAAGCCACGGCUAACUACGUGCCAGCAGCCGCGGUAAUACGUAGGUGGCAAGCGUUGUCCGGAUUUAUUGGGCGUAAAGCGAGCGCAGGCGGUUUCUUAAGUCUGAUGUGAAAGCCUUCGGCUUAACCGAAGAAGUGCAUCAGAUACUGGGAAACUUGAGUGCAGAAGAGGAAAGUGGAACUCCAUGUGUAGCGGUGAAAUGCGUAGAUAUAUGGAAGAACACCAGUGGCGAAGGCGGCUUUCUGGUCUGUAACUGACGCUGAGGCUCGAAAGUAUGGGGAGCGAACAGGAUUAGAUACCCUGGUAGUCCAUACCGUAAACGAUGAAUGCUAAGUGUUGGAGGGUUUCCGCCCUUCAGUGCUGCAGCUAACGCAUUAAGCAUUCCGCCUGGGGAGUACGACCGCAAGGUUGAAACUCAAAGGAAUUGACGGGGGCCCGCACAAGCGGUGGAGCAUGUGGUUUAAUUCGAAGCUACGCGAAGAACCUUACCAGGUCUUGACAUCUAGCGCCAAUCCUAGAGAUAGGACGUUCCCUUCGGGGACGCUAAGACAGGUGGUGCAUGGUUGUCGUCAGCUCGUGUCGUGAGAUGUUGGGUUAAGUCCCGCAACGAGCGCAACCCUUAUGAUUAGUUGCCAGCAUUUAGUUGGGCACUCUAAUCAGACUGCCGGUGACAAACCGGAGGAAGGUG
rnacentral:rRNA from 1 species